UACGAAGGGGGGCUAGCGUUGCUCGGAAUCACUGGGCGUAAAGGGGUGCGUAGGCGGGGUCUUUAAGUCAGGGGGUGAAAUCCUGGGAGCUCAACUCCCAGAACUGCCCUUUGAUACUGGCGAUCUUGAGUCCCGGGGAGAGGGUGAGUGGGAACUGCGAGUGUAGAGGGUGAAAUUCGUAGAUAUUCGCAAGAACACCAGUG
rnacentral:rRNA from 1 species